rnacentral:rRNA from 1 species
GAUGAACGCUGGCGGCGUGCCUAAUACAUGCAAGUCGAGCGAACAGAUGAGGAGCUUGCUCCUCUGACGUUAGCGGCGGACGGGUGAGUAACACGUGGAUAACCUACCUAUAAGACUGGGAUAACUUCGGGAAACCGGAGCUAAUACCGGAUAAUAUAUUGAACCGCAUGGUUCAAUAGUGAAAGACGGUUUUGCUGUCACUUAUAGAUGGAUCCGCGCCGCAUUAGCUAGUUGGUAAGGUAACGGCUUACCAAGGCGACGAUGCGUAGCCGACCUGAGAGGGUGAUCGGCCACACUGGAACUGAGACACGGUCCAGACUCCUACGGGAGGCAGCAGUAGGGAAUCUUCCGCAAUGGGCGAAAGCCUGACGGAGCAACGCCGCGUGAGUGAUGAGGGUCUUCGGAUCGUAAAACUCUGUUAUUAGGGAAGAACAAAUGUGUAAGUAACUAUGCACGUCUUGACGGUACCUAAUCAGAAAGCCACGGCUAACUACGUG